AUUGAACGCUGGCGGAAUGCUUUACACAUGCAAGUCGAACGGUAGAGGGGGCAACCCCUCGAGAGUGGCGAACGGGUGAGUAAUAUAUCGGAACGUGCCCAGUCGUGGGGGAUAACGUAGCGAAAGUUACGCUAAUACCGCAUACGGUCUAAGGAUGAAAGCGGGGGAUCGCAAGACCUCGCGCGAUUGGAGCGGCCGAUAUCAGAUUAGGUAGUUGGUGGGGUAAAGGCUCACCAAGCCAACGAUCUGUAGCUGGUCUGAGAGGACGACCAGCCACACUGGAACUAAGACACGGUCCAGACUCCUACGGGAGGCAGCGGUGGGGAAUUUGGGACAAGGGAGGCAAGUUUGAUCCGGCCAUUCCGCGUGAAGGAUGAAGGCCCUCGGGUUGUAAACUGCUUUUGUACGGAACGAAAAGGUCUCUCUUAAUACGGGGGGCUCAUGACGGUACCGUAAGAAUAAGCACCGGCUACUACGUGCCAGCCGCCGCCGUAA
rnacentral:rRNA from 1 species